AGAGUUUGAUCCUGGCUCAGAUUGAACGCUGGCGGCAGGCCUAACACAUGCAAGUCGAACGGUAGCACAGAGGAGCUUGCUCCUCGGGUGACGAGUGGCGGACGGGUGAGUAAUGUCUGGGAAACUGCCCGAUGGAGGGGGAUAACUACUGGAAACGGUAGCUAAUACCGCAUAACGUCGCAAGACCAAAGAGGGGGACCUUCGGGCCUCUUGCCAUCGGAUGAACCCAUAUGGGAUUAGCUUGUAGGUAAGGUAACGGCUUACCUAGGCGACGAUCCCUAGCUGGUCUGAGAGGAUGAUCAGCCACACUGGGACUGAGACACGGCCCAGACUCCUACGGGAGGCAGCAGUGGGGAAUAUUGCACAAUGGGCGCAAGCCUGAUGCAGCCAUGCCGCGUGUGUGAAGAAGGCCUUCGGGUUGUAAAGCACUUUCAGCGAGGAGGAAAGGUUGAUGCCUAAUACGUAUCAACUGUGACGUUACUCGCAGAAGAAGCACCGGCUAACUCCGUGCCAGCAGCCGCGGUAAUUC
rnacentral:rRNA from 1 species